rnacentral:rRNA from 1 species
AUGUUACGCCAAUUUGAACUUGCUCGGUCUGUUCAAUUGCGGCCUUAUAAUGCAAUCUCAUUCUCUGGUCCAAUUGCUAUUUUUGUUUCUGUAUUCCUUAUUUAUCCACUGGGGCAAUCUGGUUGGUUCUUUGCGCCGAGUUUUGGCGUAGCAGCGAUAUUUCGAUUCAUCCUUUUCUUACGAUGUUUUAAGAUGUUUAUUAUCACACGACUGAAUUAA